rnacentral:lncRNA from 1 species
AGUUAGUGAAAUAUACAUCGUAAAAGACGUGAACAAAUUUAAAGAGUAUUUCAGAAACAUAAUUUAGUGACAGUCGCUCUCCCUGUUUAAAAUAAAUAGAAAUUAUUAUUAAGCUUUUCAACAUUUGUGUGUCAAUCUUUUUCGUUUUCAACGUCAAACGAUUUGCAUAGUUUUCUUUAUUAAAGAAAUGAAUGACCGUAUUCGUGUUUGUAAUUAAACUAACGCCUAUUACGGUUUUUCGAAAAAUAAAAAAAAAAAUCUUCUUAUUUCGUUUCACGUAGGGAAACCAUGUCUUACGAUGACUGUAGUGAAAACAUCUCUCAUUUUUUAUUUUAGCGUAUGAACGGUAUACAUGUAUUUUACCGUUUUAAACCUAGUACAAUACACUGCAAACGACAUUCUUCAAUUAAACCAUUAACCAAAUUCUGUUAAUAUAUCUACAUAAGCAGGCCAAG